ACUCGUUAAUUGAAAAAUAUUGUUUAAAAAGAAAAAAGGCAAUCUAUUUUCUCAGCUAAAGGGAGAAAAGGAAUAAAUGAACUGUUAAUCGAAACACAGUGCCAUUUGGAGUGGGACACAGAGAAGGAUGAAAGCUUCACAAAAGGUGAAAGAUCGAGAGGAAGAGAGAACUAAGAGGAAUGGUAUAGCUAGUAAAUUGCGUUUUAUGUGAGCAAGGUUUAUCUACAUUGUAAGGAUGUAAAAGUCAUUAGAAGCAUUUCGUGAUAAAAAAAUAAAAAAAUAAAAUUGAUGUAGCGGAAAUUAGUUUGCAUCAAUAAAGACCGUUG